UACGGGGGGGGCAAGCGUUGUUCGGAAUUACUGGGCGUAAAGGGCUCGUAGGCGGCCCACUAAGUCAGAUGUGAAAUCCCCAGGCUCAACCUGGGAACUGCAUCUGAUACUGGUGGGCUUGAAUUCGGGAGAGGGAUGCAGAAUUCCAGGUGUAGCGGUGAAAUGCGUAGAUAUCUGGAGGAAUACCGGUGGCGAAGGCGGCAUCCUGGACCGACAUUGACGCUGAUGAGCGAAAGCUAGGGGAGCAAACGGG
rnacentral:rRNA from 1 species